GGCUCGUGUCUAGUGGUAUGAUUCUCGCUUCGGGUGCGAGAGGUCCCGGGUUCGAUUCCCGGUGAGGCCC
rnacentral:tRNA from 1 species